rnacentral:rRNA from 1 species
ACACUCCUACGGGAGGCAGCAGUGGGGAAUAUUGGACAAUGGGCGCAAGCCUGAUCCAGCCAUGCCGCGUGAGUGAUGAAGGCCCUAGGGUUGUAAAGCUCUUUCACCGGUGAAGAUAAUGACGGUAACCGGAGAAGAAGCCCCGGCUAACUUCGUGCCAGCAGCCGCGGUAAUACGAAGGGGGCUAGCGUUGUUCGGAUUUACUGGGCGUAAAGCGCACGUAGGCGGACUAUUAAGUCAGGGGUGAAAUCCCGGGGCUCAACCCCGGAACUGCCUUUGAUACUGGUAGUCUUGAGUUCGGGAGAGGUGAGUGGAAUUCCGAGUGUAGAGGUGAAAUUCGUAGAUAUUCGGAGGAACACCAGUGGCGAAGGCGGCUCACUGGCUCGAUACUGACGCUGAGGUGCGAAAGCGUGGGGAGCAAACAGGAUUAGAAACCCCGGUAGUCCCAUGA